rnacentral:rRNA from 1 species
CCCUUUGGGUGUGACUGCGUACCUUUUGUAUAAUGGGUCAGCGACUUAUAUUCUGUAGCAAGGUUAACCGAAUAGGGGAGCCGGAGGGAAACCGAGUCUUAACCGGGCGUUAAGUUGCAGGGUAUAGACCCGAAACCCGGUGAUCUAGCCAUGGGCAGGUUGAAGGUUGGGUAACACUAACUGGAGGACCGAACCGACUAAUGUUGAAAAAUUAGCGGAUGACCUGUGGCUGGGGGUGAAAGGCCAAUCAAACCGGGAGAUAGCUGGUUCUCCCCGAAAGCUAUUUAGGUAGCGCCUCGUGAAUUCAUCUCCGGGGGUAGAGCACUGUUUCGGCUAGGGGGCCAUCCCGGCUUACCAACCCGAUGCAAACUGCGAAUACCGGAGAAUGUUAUCACGGGAGACACACGGCGGGUGCUAACGUCCGUCGUGAAGAGGGAAACAACCCAGACCGCCAGCUAAGGUCCCAAAGUCAUGGUUAAGUGGGAAACGAUGUGGGAAGGCCCAGACAGCCAGGAUGUUGGCUUAGAAGCAGCCAUCAUUUAAAGAAAGCGUAAUAGCUCACUGGUCGAGUCGGCCUGCGCGGAAGAUGUAACGGGGCUAAACCAUGCA